UUCCUACGGGAGGCAGCAGUGGGGAAUUUUGCGCAAUGGGGGAAACCCUGACGCAGCAACGCCGCGUGAGUGAUGAAGGCCCUCGGGUCGUAAAGCUCUUUUAGUGGGGAAGAAACAUCCCGGGGCUAAUAUCCCCGGGACUUGACGGUACCCACAGAAAAAGUUCCGGCUAACUACGUGCCAGCAGCCGCGGUAAUACGUAGGGAGCAAGCGUUGUUCGGAAUCAUUGGGCGUAAAGAGCGCGUAGGCGGCUUGGCAAGUCCGUUGUGAAAUCUCACAGCUUAACUGUGAAACUGCGACGGAAACUGCCUCGCUAGAGUGCGGGAGAGGAGAGUGGAAUUCCCAGUGUAGAGGUGAAAUUCGUAGAUAUUGGGAGGAACACCGGUGGCGAAGGCGGCUCUCUGGACCGCAACUGACGCUGAGGCGCGAAAGCUAGGGGAGCAAACGGGAUUAGAUACCCCGGUAGUCCUAGCCGUAAACGAUGGGCACUAGGUGUAGGGGGUAUUGACCCCUUCUGUGCCGCAGCUAACGCAUUAAGUGCCCCGCCUGGGGAGUACGGUCGCAAGACUAAAACUCAAAUGAAUUGACGGAA
rnacentral:rRNA from 1 species